GGUGGAAGACUGCAAUAUCAGAACUGGACACUGAAAGGCCUCAUGCAGAAAAACAAGGGACAAUAAAGCAAAAUCGUCAUCACGCUGCCCUUUCACAUGUCUCAAACUGACUCUAAAAGACUAAAAUUCUUACAUCAUUUUUCUAAUGAGGAAACGCAAGCAUGAUUUAAAUGACUAGACCAAUCCACGAGAGAAGACCCCGUCAGAUGUAGGCUAUGCUGGCUGGAAAUGUCCCUUUGUUUCAGCCUGGUGCUCAGUGCUGAGCUGGGUCGAAGUGGACUGGCUUUUUUGUCCUGGACUGGCUUUCAGUGUGGCCCGAGACAGUAGCAGUCUCAGGAGAGCCCAAGAACCCACCGUCUUCUCACUGUUUGGAGCUAAACCCUCGCAAGGGUCUCUGUGAGAUUUUGACACCACCAGAACUGAAUCUCAACCUUGAAAUGAUUUUGUAUCCAGAGUCUGGAGUCAGACUUGGGAUCCUUACACCAUCUGUAGACAAUGUUCAACCAAAAAGCAAAAAAUGUGGAAUCUUUCCUCAAACUGCUUACCUAGCAAUACAUUUCACAGGAAUGC